UUCUCUCUUCACAAUUAAUUCUCUCAUUCCCACUUCUCUCUCCUCAAAUCCUAAAUGUCUGUACAAACCCUAAUAAUGCCGCCGCUUUCAUCCACCAUUCUACCUAAAGUGUCAUUCCUUAAUACUACAGUCGCUUUCAUGAGUGAAGAACUUUGUUGAUCCCGGGUCGUACAUGAAUAAGAAGCAGGAUGUGUUUUGGGUUACACAGAGGAGAAGUAGAAAAACUGAUUUCAAGCUUUUCACAGUACUUGAAAAACUUUUAGACAAGACAUUUUCCAAUACUAGAGCAAUUUGUCAGUUGGAGCAUUCAAGGAAGCCUCGCGUCUAGCGAGUGCCACACCACAUCCUUCUCGUGUACUAAGUUGUGGUAUCGCUUGGCAGGGAAUUGGAAUUUUGCUGAAUGGCCUUUUCCGAACACUGACUGGUUCAAUCGUUUCAGUGUAUGUGCUAUAUUAAACUUAUUCUCAUUCAUAGUUUUCAUUUUUUGUGUGAGACAGAAAUUGAUUCUUUUAAUAUCAUGACAAAGAGAAUGUAUGACUUCUAGGAAGCAACUGUGUCGGAAGUCAAAGAGUCAUUCAAGUUUCUGUUGGCUUUAUGAUAUUCUUCUCAAUGUUAGGAGCGAAAGAUCAUGCUUUAACAUUUUUUAAAUUUGUGUUUAAAGACUAGCUGGGAUGAUGAUAGUAUAAAACUUGAUGCAAGAAAUUGUUGGGCAUUCUCAGCAACGGCUGCUGUGGAAGGCAUCAACUGAUGCUAAAAGCUGCAGUUGUCCACCAGUCUGUUUCCGUUGCAACCAAGGUCGGAGAAUAUGCACUAAAACUGUUCAUUGUUGUGUAGACGAGAGAGAU